AAGGCCUGGACCGCGGGAGGACGCCUGACAGUCCCAUUCCUUGGGUCUCGGGGUAGCCUUGCUCCGAGAGGAUGCAAGCGAAUGGGAGCCGAGGAAGACAAGUUUUGUCUCUGUCCUGGGAGAGAUGUCGGCUUGGCUUGGUUUGCGUAGAGGAAACAGGGGAACUGAGGACCGAACCCUGGGGAGGGAAGAGGGGAUGGAACCAAUACCGAGAAGGACGAGGCUGGAAAACUAAAAGGUUUGAACCUAGAAAUCAAGAAAUAAUGGAGAAGAGCUGCAGAAAGACUCCUCUGACCAGCUGCUAGCAGACUUCAGCGGCCAAGCCACUCACCUGCGCUCUUGGACAGGAACGUCACUGGGGAAGGAAAUGUUGGGAGGCUCAAGAUUUGGGAACACUUGGACUUGAUGCCCUCAUUUCCAGGCUUGCACAUGGCAAAGCACAGUCAAUCUGUAGUGGGCCGCAAAUCUGUUUGAGCAAAUGUUUGUCCUAUGAGCCCUUUGAAAUUGACCAUAAGAGGAGGUAUUUUGCUAAGUGUCUGUGGAAGGACAUUUUACAGAUGCUUUCUAAAAUCUUAUAUGGGAGCACUCUUGUGCCUAGGUUGUGUGUUAUUCUUCACAAGAUAACAUAAAGUGUAUGAAACUUUUCGUACCAGCUUCUGUUGUUUGGAAGGUCCACUUGUCCUGUAUCUCUUUACUGAUUGUCACCUGCUGAAACAAUUCUAAACAGCUGCUGUUGUAUGUGAGGAACUGUGUUGAGCUCUGUGGGAGACUAUGAAAACAUAAAUCAGUGGCUACGGGCACUUCUAGCAGCAGUCUACUGUAAAUUUAGUUUUGAAACAUCUGAAAUUGAUGCAGAUAAGUCAUUGGAACUGUUAGGCAGAGAAUGUCCCCCUAAAAGGUUGUCCCUGAAGGAGUUCUGCUAGUCUCUUCUUGAUGGUCUUUUUUCUAAGUGUAAUAUUUUAUUGCAAUUUAAUUGACCAAAAGCGUAAAGUAAAAUCUGCCACUCCAGCCUGAAUUGUUGGCUCAGCACCAAUUGCUUGUUUUCCAGAGGAUCUGAGUUCCAUUCCUGACACAUACUUUUACUCCCAGCACUUGGAAGUCAGGGUCAGGCAGUAAUCUAGAUUCAAGGUCAUCCUGGUCUAUAUAGCAAGUUCCAGGCCAGGCAAGCCUAUACCAAUUCUUGAGGUCAACUGGACUGUCCAGUGUUAGUUGAGGAUUUUUUCAUUUUGGGGCCAGUGGGAUGGCUUUACAGGUAAAGGUAGCUACCGUCAAGUACAAUCCAAAUGGUGGGUAAAGAGGACCGACAAUACAGUUGUUUUCUGAUCUCCACACACACACACGUUGGGACACAUACACACAAAUUACAUACGUUUUUUAAAGUCCUAUGCAUUUUAAACACUAGAAUAAUGGAAGAGAAAAUGCCCCCAAUGCUUUGGCUUCCGUGACAAGGGAAGCUCUAAUGAAAGUCACUUGCCUGAGCAGACCUUAGCAUGGAUUUCACACACGGAUGGACUUGACGCUCUCUUAAUUUGUCUGUAAAUGUUUGGUUUAUGAGGCAUUUUUCAUAAGAAAGUUAUUACCAAUUCCCAUUUCUUCCCACUGAACCCCCGUUCUCUUAACUUUUUUAAUGCAAAGCAAACACUCCUUAGAUUUAUCUCUUGAUUAUUGUUUUUAAAAACCUUUAUUACUGGAGCCACAGAAAUGGCUCAGCAGUUAAGAGAACUUUCAGGGAGACUCAGGGUUGGGUUCCAGCACCCACACAGCAGCUCACUGAUGUCCUUGAUGUCAGGGAUCCGUCACCCUCUUCUGGCUCCCAUGGGCACUAGACAUGCAGACAUAAAAUACACAUAAAAUAGAAAUAAAUCUUAUCAUUUCUUUU
rnacentral:lncRNA from 1 species